AUACGGAGGGGGUUAGCGUUGUUCGGAAUUACUGGGCGUAAAGCGUACGUAGGCGGAUCGGAAAGUAAGGGGUGAAAUCCCAGGGCUCAACCCUGGAACUGCCUCUUAAACUCCCGGUCUUGAGUUCGAGAGAGGUGAGUGGAAUUCCUAGUGUAGAGGUGAAAUUCGUAGAUAUUAGGAGGAACACCAGUGGCGAAGGCGGCUCACUGGCUCGAUACUGACGCUGAGGUGCGAAAGCGUGGGGAGCAAACAGGAUUAGAAACCCUAGUAGUCC
rnacentral:rRNA from 1 species